rnacentral:rRNA from 1 species
GUGCCAGCAGCCGCGGUAAUACGUAGGUGGCAAGCGUUGUCCGGAAUUAUUGGGCGUAAAGCGCGCGCAGGCGGUCCUUUAAGUCUGAUGUGAAAGCCCACGGCUCAACCGUGGAGGGUCAUUGGAAACUGGAGGACUUGAGUACAGAAGAGGAAAGCGGAAUUCCACGUGUAGCGGUGAAAUGCGUAGAGAUGUGGAGGAACACCAGUGGCGAAGGCGGCUUUCUGGUCUGUAACUGACGCUGAGGCGCGAAAGCGUGGGGAGCAAACAGGAUUAGAUACCCUGGUAGUCC